CGCGAGAUAUUAACAGAAAGAGAAGCUUGUAUUUCGAAAUUCUAUUUGUUCGAAAACACUUAUCUUUCGUCUCAAGUUAAGGUCAGCUUAGUGUAGUGGGUGUUUGUUGCCAGGCAACUGACGUGUACACACGGAUGAUCAGAAUGAUAUACACUUGCUUUGCAUGUCAGUAGUGUAUAUUACGUUUGUAAAUAAAUAUUGUUAAGAUAAUUGAGAGUAAUAUUGAAUCAACAUGCUGCUGAAAUAUCUAGGUACCGUCAUGCCAGCACAGGAGUUGGAAAACAAGGUGGUUAGCAUAGCGUGGUCACCAAACAACUUAAAGCUAGCUGUGGCAUUCUCUGAUCGUUCCAUUUACCUUUUUGAUGAGAAUGGUGUGAAGCGUGAUAGAUUUUCCACCAAGCCUGUUGAUUCCAAGUUUGGUAAAAAGAGCUACAUAGUGAAGGGAAUAGCCUUCUCUCCAGAGUCCACAAAGAUUGCAGUUGGCCAAACCGACUGUAUUGUAUAUGUAUAUAAAAUAGGGGAGGAUUGGGGCGAUAAAAAGGUGAUUUGCAACAAGUUUAAACAAAGUGCAGCGGUGACUUGCCUGAUCUGGCCAGUGGAUGGUCCAAUUAUCGUAGGAUUGGCGGAUGGGAAAGUCCGUGCGGCUAUGGUCAAGUCGCAAAAGGCACAAACUUUGUAUACCUCCGACGCUAUGACGAUAGCUCUGGCUAGCAAUGUUCGAGGCACCGGCUUCCUAUCGAGCCACGCCGACGGUAGCAUUAUCCGAUACUACUUUACUGAAGACGGCAGCGCGGAGCCAUCAGGACGCGUGUGCAUCCACGGAGUGCCCGCUUACGCCUUGGCAUGGCCACAGUCGCACAUUUUGGCAGCAGGUUGCGAUAAACGACUAACUAUGUACGAUCCAUACGGUAAACCGGUUAAGACCUUUGACUUCAGCCGGGAUUCCCAGGAGAGGGAGAUCACUGUAGCUUGCUGCAGCCCGAGCGGUCAAAGCGUCGCCGUGGGCUCCUGGGAUAAAGUGCGCAUCUUUGAUUGGACACCACGAAGAAGUGUCUGGGAAGAGACCAAUGUACGCGAUCUACCUAACUUCUAUACUGUCACAGCAUUCGCCUGGAGACGAGACGGUUCAAAACUAGUAGUUGGAGGAUUAUGCGGCGGCGUUGAACAGUUUGAGACUAUUUUGAGACGUACGGUAGUCCGCGGUAGUCACGAGGUCGCCUAUGUGGGUCCCAGUCAAGUGGUAAUCCGACCUUUGACCGAUUCCUCGCAGCGUCCCAUCAUCGUUAGAUCGCAGACGGGUAUGGAGAUUGAAGAUGUACGCGUUCUAGGGCGCAGAGAUAACAAUGUGGUAGCUCGAACGGCACGCACUUUGUUGAUCGGCGACAUCGAGUUGGGUCUUAUCAGCGAGAUCCCCUGGGAGGAUCAAUCCGGCAGCGAAAAGUUUUUCUUCGAAUAUCCGGUUGUAUGCCUGAUCUUUUGCUCUGGUGAGCUUACGAUCGUCGAGUACGGUCAAAACGAAGCACUUGGUUCCGUGCGAACAGAGGCGGUAAACCCACAUGUGGUCAGUGUACGCGUCAACGAGCGACCCUCAGUUAGCGGGGAUGACAAUAAAAAGUUAGCCUACCUGCUGGACCCAAGAACUGUUCGCGUGAUUGACUUGAUGUCUGGUGCGACCAUCAGCAUGAUCGCCCACGACGCUCGCAUCGACUGGCUGGAGUUGAGCGAGUCUGGUCAUAGACUGCUAUCCCGAGACAAACGAGGCCGUCUUUGGCUGAGCGAUGACACGGGUGACAAAGUCUUAUUGGUGACAGGGGCAUCUUUUGCAUCUUGGGUGACUGGUAGCGACGUUGUCGUUGCUCAGACGGGUCAAACCAUGGCUAUUUGGUACAACGUGGAUGCGCCAGAAGCGGUUACACUGAUGCCAAUUAAGGGCGACAUAGUGGACAUUGUGAGAGAGGAUAAUCGAACGUCUGUGAUGGUGGAAGAGCACGGCGUCAAGGUGGCGUAUCAGUUGGACGAAGGAUUAAUCGAGUUCGGCACUGCGCUGCAUGACAAUGACUUCGGCAGAGUUGUCCUAUUUCUGGAGAACAUGACCGAUAGUUCACAAGUGGAGACCAUGUGGGAGAACGUAGCCAGAAACGCGAUGAAUGAAAAAAAUCUCGCGAUAGCUGCCAGGUGUUACGCUGCGAUGGGUGACGUGGCAUGUGCAAAGUUUCUGAAGGAUACCGUCGAGAUUGGUGAAAAAUACGCCAAAGAGACUGGCAACGAAUCACUGGCUUGUCCGGAAGUCUGGGCCCGACUGGCCAUACUGAAUGGUGACCUAAAAACCGCUGAAGCGAUUUAUUUGGAGCAUAAUGAGCUGGACAAAGCGCUAGACAUGUACCAGCGUUACUGGCGCUGGGAAGAUGCCCUAAACUUAGCUCAGAGUCGUAAUUGGAGUGGUCUGUCAGAGCUGCGGGACCGUCACUUGGCUUGGUUGCUGGACAGUGGCCAAGCGGCCCGCGCGGCGUCCAUCAUAGAAACCACGAAUCCCAAAAGAGCUGUAAAACUUUAUUUAGAGGCUCGCCGACCUGGACGAGCCGCCAGGUUAAUACUUGCCGAUAACGAAUUGCUGGAGGACGAAAGAAUCGUCGAGGAAGUUAUUAGUGGUCUUAAGGCUACCGAUCUCACGGAACUCGCUGGAGAACUGCUGGAGAAAACCGGCGCCGGUUCCGAGGCGAUCAAGUGUUACGCUCAGGCCGGUAUCUUCUCCAGAGCUCUCGACCUAGCACGUAAAAUCGAUCCCACAUUAGUGGUCGAGCUUGAAAGGGACUGGGGAAAACAUCUAUCAGCAAGUGGUCAUUAUGACGCUGCUAUCAAUCACUUCAUUGAAGCGGGAGAGACGGUAUUGGCAUUGAAAGCCGCUAUUAGCGCGCGACAAUGGAGAAAAGCUUUACAGAUUAUUCAGGUGAUUGAAGAUGAUGAUCCAGAGAUCCGUCAACAAUGCGAAAAAUUGGCCGAAUACUUCUCGUCGAUCGGCGAACGAAGCUUAGCAGAGAGCCUUUUCGUUCGCGCGGAAAAUGCCCAACGUGCUGUAGAAAUUCACAUACAAUCGGGUGACUGGAUGCGUGCACACCAGGUGGCUCAAGAAUACAUGAAGAGCGACGAGGCCAGUCAAGUGUUGGCAAAGCACGCCGAUAGUCUACAGCAGACAGGCGAACUCCGCCAUGCCGAGGCUCUCUAUGUCGCGAUCGGCGACCAUGACGCGGCAAUCGCUAUGCAUCGUAAAGCGGGAAAUCGCAGUGACAUGAUCAGAUUGGUCUCACAGCAUCGACCAGAUUUACUUCAAACUACUCACAUGCACCUGGCAAGAGAGCUAGACGCAGCCAACAAGCCAAGAGAAGCCGAAGAGCACUUCCUAGGUGCUGGUGACUGGCGCGGAGCGGUUACAGCUUAUAGAUCUGCGAAUAUGUGGGAGGAUGCGUUAAGAGUCGCAAAAAAAGCAUCAGGAGAAAAGGCGGCACAUCAGGUUGCUUUAAUGUGGGCCCGAACGUUGGCUCCAGAACUAGGUGCGAGACUUCUAAUGCGACUUGGUUACUUGGAGCCUUGUCUGCAAUUGGCGUGUGAAGCCAGCUUAUUUGACUGGGCUUUGGAAAUCGCCAAGUAUGGUACGCUGGAUCAGAAGAAAGAAGUUCAUUAUCGUUAUGCAAUGUCGUUGGAAGACGAGGGUCGUUUCGCUGAGGCCGAGAAGGAAUUCAUACAGGCCGGCAAGACUAUGGAAGCGGUACAGAUGUACAUUCACAGUCGCGACUGGGAGUCUGCCGAGAACGUCGCGCAAUCGCACAGCCAGGAAGCAGUGGCACAAGUCUUGAUUGCCCGAGCUGCCGAGGCCGCCGAGGGACAGGAUUACGCUACAGCGGAGACUCUUCUCUUGAGAGCUCACAAACCGGAGAUAAUAAUAGAGCAUUAUAAGACAGCUGGAAUGUGGUCUGAGGCACUGCGAGUGUGUAGAGAAUAUUUACCCAGUCAAGAGGCGGCACUGCGCAGAGAGUUAGGUCAAAGAAGCGCGGGACUGGACGGGGCAAACGCAUUGGAGGAAGCUCGGAAGUGGCUUGAUCUCGGGGAAGUGCGGCCUGCCCUAGACACCCUUAUCCUGAAUCCGCAGGCGCCGAGAUCGUAUCUCAUCCGCGCGGCUGAUAUCCUUCUGCAUCAGGCAGAUCCUGAAACGGCGACUGAUAUUGGUGGAGAUCUAGGUGCACGUUUGUUUUCCGUUGGUGAACACGCGCUCGCCGCUCAGGUGUUCCUUCAAGCAGAUCGGUUAAAGGACGCGGUGAGUUCGCUGGUGGCUGUCGGCGAGUGGGAUCGCGCGCGACGAAUCGUCCGCGAGCUCGCUCCCGAUCUUGAGCCGUAUCUAGAAGAGAAAUACCGGGACGCCAUGACAAACGACGGUGAAAUGGAACGAUUGGCGGAAGUGGACGGUAACGCCGCCCUCGAAGUGAUGGCGCGCAAAGGUCAAUGGAGCCAAGUUUUCGACGCUGCAAGCUCGCAAAGUCCGGAGGUGUUGCAUAGAUUCGUAGCACGGCGUGCUGCACAGUUGUUGAAGAACGAUGCCGCGCCGCAGGCACUGCAGCUUUACGCGCAGUACGGCGCACCUCCGAUCUCACAGAACUUUAAUCUCUAUCUACAAUUGACAGAGAGCAUCUUGAACGCAGCGCAACAGGAGUACAGAUACUUGGGCCAACUCCGUGACGUUUUACACGGUCUCUAUCGCUCGUCAUCAUCAUCAUCCUCCUCCGAAAGAUUCGAGCGUCUUUUAGAGGCCGCUCAUUUCUCAGCCAUGAAGCACGGUUGCCGUACAUUUCCAGCGCUUUCUAGUAUUGUGGUCAAAGCGUCGGUCAGUCUUCUGCGACAUACCGAAAUCCUUCACGCCGACAGAUACUAUUACGAAGCCGGUGUCGCAGCUCGUAACGCUGGUCUUCUGAGCGAAGCUUUUGUCUUUCUCAAUCAUUUUCUCGAUCUGGAAGAGUGUAUCGAGGAUGGCGACAGCAACGUUCUAGACGUGGACGAUCUACGUGUCACUGACUUUCCGCUAGAAGUUCCACUUCCAGAAAAGCUUGGCGUCACAACGGAGCAACGCGAGGAAGCGAGAGAAUGGGUGCUAGCGGUGUCUAUGGAUCAGAAGGUCGAGCAAGGUCUACCGGUCGACCAGAGAGGUGUCUACGUGGGCUCCCUAACGUCCCCGACAAAUUCCGGCAUGCCUCUUCAGCAAUGUGUAAUCACGGGAUAUCCGGUGCGCGGCCCGGUCGUCAGAUUUGAGGAGACCAACCGCGUGGCUGAUCGCGAUGACUGGACCAAGUUGAUCAACACGGCUAGACAGGCACCUCCGGAUUCGCCGCUAAAUGAUAUUUUAGUAUUUCUUCAAGAUUGGUGUGGCACGAUACCCAAGUACACGUUUUAGGAGAAAAAGCUUUCUAAUUUUAAUCGAAAGUUUUAAUGAAGAUGGAGGAUAACAAAGAACAAAAAAGAUUUACAAGAGAGUUUGGAAUUUAUAGACGUUUUAAGCGGUCUGAAAAGGCGCCGCGGGGAGAAAAAAAGGAGCAAUGAGAAAACGCAGCGUUCGUUCCUCGACCGACCCGAUCCUCACCUUCCUCCGGGAACUCGUGAAAGCGUUCGUUGAUCGCUGCCAUUAAACGCCCCGCGAUUAAUUUAAAUAAAUGCGGCGCCGUUAUGAGCGGGGAACACUUACCUGUGAGAGAUGGUGGAUAUUCAAAUGCGGACCUCUUCGCUGAAAAGUCGCCGAGGACUAAUCUUCUGACGGAUCGCGGGAUUUUCUUCUAAAAUAUUCCUACGAAGAACUAUGGGAGUGACUUAAUUCCGGGAUUACGCGCCGGAGUCUUGCCAAUAGAAUAGAAGUUUAUAUCAGAGUGACGUAGAAAAUAUCGAACAGUUUAAAAUCGUUUCACUCUUGUCUGCAGUAACUUAAUUUUAUCCACGAGAUCAAAUACGAGUCUGAAAAGUAUGGGAUUACAUGAGAUUGGUAAAUGAAACAUUGAUAAAUCAUCGACAUAAAAAACAUUCUUGAAUUUGUAUAUAUACCUGUAUAAAUUACAUAUACAUAGUAUCAUGUAGUACAUCUCUGGUGAAAAAAGUUCUCAAAAUACCUCAUUAUAGUUCUUUCUUUUUUAAUAAUUUUUCGUAUUUUAAAUUUAUGAAGAUUUCUGAAAAAUAUCUGAAACUUCUUCAGAGUUUAUAAUUUUCUUUGAAAGUUACAGAAUGAGAAAUCUUACAAUGUUUAAAUUCACAUGUAUAAAAAAUUCCAGAAGACGUGAUUUCACAGCAUUUCUGAAAAAUGUUCUAAUUUAUAUAAAAAAAUUCGAGAAAGCUUUGAAAAAAAUGUAAAAUUAUACAGAAAUUUUGAAAUUUAUAAUAUAUAAAGAAUUUUAAGACAAAUUUUUGGAAAAUAUCUGUAAUAUACAAAGAGCUCUGAUUACAAAGAAUAAAAAGGUAAAAGACAAGGAGGAGGGAACGAAAAAAAGAUUAACGAACGUACGUUAAAAAAUUGAUGUAUAUAAUAACAAUAAUAUAUAUAAUAUAUAUAUAACGUAUAUGCGCCUGUA